rnacentral:rRNA from 1 species
AAAUUGUAAUUCCGGUGAAGAUGCCGGAUACCUGCGACAGGACGGAAAGACCCCAUGGAGCUUUACUGUAGCUUGACAUUGGGUCUUGGUACUACAUGUACAGGAUAGGGGGGAGGCUUUGAAACCAGGACGCCAGUUUUGGCGGAGCCAUCCUUGGGAUACCACCCUUGUAGUACUGGGACUCUAACCAUAGGCCAUGAAUCUGGUCUUGGG